CAGAACUAUACUCAUUGCAUUAGUUUUAGAGUGCUGGACUGAAGCUUUCUCCUGAUUCUAGAUCAAGAUGUAAACACUCAGCUUCUUGCCAUAGCUGCCAUUGCUCUGCUCUGCCAUCAUGGACUCUUACCCUCUGGAACUGUGUUCUGGGAUGAUAUAUGUGUGCCACUGUGUUAGACUUUUUAAUGUUGAUUCUGAGGAUCACAGUCAUAUCACUGGGCAUCCGGCUUCCAUGGCAAAAGAGUAAAAGCACACUGAGUUAUCUUGAUGCUUCCUCCAGCCCCAAGAUAUCCGAAGAAAACUUUCAGUGGCAUGGCCCAACAGCCUUAUGAUUUGCUCAGCCACCUUAUCUUUUGUAUAAACUUGAUGAUUGGUAGUUGUGAAGUCCAGUUAAGAAAUGAUCGCAACGGUUCUAGUGACAAAUUUUGAGAGCACUUGAAGAUAUCUAAAGAAAGUUUUUGUUGUUGCAAUUAAAGAAGGGAUGCUAGUAGCAUCUAACUCGGAAAGGUUAAAGAUGCUGCUACCUAUCUUUUAGUGAGCAGGACAAAUCUUCACAGAAAUGCCAGUAGUAGUGAAUUUCAAAAAUUCUUGACACAGGAACAGCUAUCAGGAUCAAUAACAAAAUCCAAGGAGACAAUGGGAGAGUUUUCAAGGAAGAAAGGCCACAAGAUAAGACUGAGAAUGUACAUGAACACUGGUAAAUUUGUGAAGAAGUACAGUCAUUAUCUGAAUUUGACAGAUUUUUAAAAAGAACAGAGGGAUUAACUAGUAUGCCUAAAUUCACGAAAUGAGCGAGUGGAUUCAUAUCAAGAAGUUUGCUACUGGUGCCCAAUAGAGUCAUCACAUCACAAUAGACAUAGAGAUACAAAGGUUAUUUUUCUCUGUGAAUCUUUUGCCUACAGUGAUGGUUAAAAUCGAUCAUCAAUUUGAUGUGCUCUAUAAUCACUUCCAAGAUGAGCCUCUAAGCAUGUCUGUGGGGAUUUAUUUAUGUGGGUUAAUUCAAGCGAAGACCAGCCUUAACUGUGGGCAUCACCGUGCCGUGGUCUGAGGUCCUGGAGAAAGUUAACUCGGCACCAGCGUUCACCUGCAUCCGCUUCCUGACUGUGUCUAGAGAAUGGGUCAGCUGCCUCAGGAGCCCAGUGCCACGCCUUCCCCACCAGGGCGCACUGUACCCCAGAACUGAGAGCAAAUGGAACCUUCCUUCCUUCCUUAAGUUGUUUCUGGCUGGGUAGUUAUUCACAGCAACACAGAAACGCACCAAGUAACUAAUACAUCUACUAUUCUGUUUGGUUCUGUUUUACUUAUUAUUUGUAGAAAUUCUUAAUACAUAUAAAAACAUUAAUUUAUUGUCUAUUGGAUUGUAAAUGUUUCUCCCAAGUAUGUUAAGUUUUUCUCUUAAUUUUUUCUUCUGAUAACUUUUACUAGACAAUGGGUAUUUCCUUUGUUUCUUCCCCUUUACCUUUCUAUGUACCUUCUUUUUCUCUCCUUCCUCCCUUCUUCCUUCCUUUCUUCCAUUAUUUUUUUCUUCCAGCAAACUUAUCUAUCUUUCCUCUUACAAUCUCUUUUUUUAUUUUGUACUUAGAA